AGGGUUGGGGAGCGGAGGACGCUGCCUUUUUACCCUCCUGGCUCAUCUCGCUGUGGUCGUCACAAGCCUCCUCCCGCCCCGCGCUCGCUGGCGACGGCGACAAAAUGGCAGCCCGGGCGGCUGGCAGUCAUGUCGGAGAGGGCGCCCGGGCGCCCCUCCGUCUCCACCGCCGCCACUGCCACCACCAGCACCGCCACCGCCGCCCGGCCCCCGCCGCAGUGCCGGCGGGAAGGACCCCCCCCCCCAACGCCAACGCCUCAUGUCGCACUUCCACACACCGCCGCUACCCCCGCCCCGGACCGGUGGCGGCGGGGCGGGCGGGAAGACCGGGUAGGGGCGGCGGGAUUCCCCUCACAGCCCAGCGCUCAAGGUCCUUGGUGGGGUGUCCCGCGGCCGGGCUGUUCCCUCCGCUUGCAGCUGAGGAAGAGGAGGAGGAGAAGCGAAAAGCGAAGGGGGAGGAAGGGGAAGAAAAAAAACAUGGCGCCGCGUCCUACUUGCGGUGUGGCGCUGCCAGAGCGCGGCCGGGAGCGGCCCUGGUGGAGCCAGGGUUGGGAUGUGGAACGGGAUGGGAGUGCUCAGUGACCGGCCCCCAUCGCCCUACUGUGCCCCCGCGCCUGAACAAUGAGCCCCCCGCGGGCCGCGCAGGGCCAGGCAGCCGCCGUGCGCCGCGGCGGCGGUGGCCGGAGCCCUCCUCCCCCCCAGCACCAUCAGCCCGCCGCCAUCCUCCUCCUCCUUCACCGCCCAGGAGUUUUUAAACUUUAAAGAGCAGGUUCCAUCAACCUGCCCCCGCCUUUUGUCCCUCGGACACCGCGCUCACGCCACCGAAAAGCCGCGGGGCCGCGUCCCGCCGCCUUGCCUCCGCCCUCCCCCGGAGAGCAUCUGGAGGGAGAGGAGAGAGAGAGAGGGAGAGAGAGAGAAAGGGCGCGUUCAUGAGGACUACAAAGUUACAAAUAUGGCUCCCCAGUCUCUCUUGCCUGAUCACUGCAAAGAAAUGAAGACGCACUUUAAACUAAACCAUCUCCAACUCCCUCUCAGUCCCUGUCUGCCUCUCCCUGCCCAGCACCCAGCACAAAUAUUUGCCAACUAAACACGCCAAGAGAGGAGCAACCAACUUAUUUGUAUUUAAUGCCCGGCGAUCUCCCUUCCCCCCCCCGCCUCGCACACUCCCCUUUCCAAGGCAUCGCACACCGGCAAAGUCAGGAGCCAGCCUCCAGUUUCCCCCCUAGUAACGCCUGCGCCUUCGGGGCUCCCCUCAAACUGAGGUGCACAGCCCCACACAACCCCACACACAGGUAGGCACCUCAAGGGCAGCACCGGCCCCACCGUCACCACCGCUUUCCCUCUUUCUCCGAGCCCGGUAGGGUUGAGAUGCACCCCUCCGAAAAGAAAAUAUAAAUAAAAUAACGAUACGAUGGAUUUUU